CCUACAAAUUGGAUGUCACAGUUGGCACUGUAUGGGGUCUACCUGCCUCCUCACGACGGUCUCUGCUCACCAUCUGUCUGGAAAAUCUCUCUUUCUUCUUGAAGAAUGUAUUUUAAAUUUCUCUCCAUGGAUUUGUUGGUGGUAAAUCCUUUCUGUUUGUGUUUCUCUGAGCAUGUCUUUAUUUCACCUGUUUCUGAGGCCAUCUUUGCUGGGUAUAAAAUAAUAGGUUGACAGAUAUUUCUCUCUGUACUUGGAAGAUGCUAUUGCAUUUUCUUUGGUUCCAUCUUUUUCUGUUUGUCCCCUUUUAUUUAUUUAUUUUUAAAAAACAAAGACAUGAUUUACAAAGAGUGAAAUGUACACAUAUUACGCAUUACAGUUGGAUGGGUAUAAUAAAGAGCUUCUAGCUUUUUCUAUUUUCAUAUUUAAUGAUUGUUUUAAGCCCCAACACUCUCCCUUUCCUUCUGUUCCACAUCUGGAAAAGCUGAUAGGAAAGCCUCAUGUUCUGUCCCUUGGCACCAGCAAGAGUCAGGCCACACAAGCCCGUGCCCCCAGACACAGACCCUCACUCCUGUCUCAAUACAGACAUUUUGUCAGACAACAGUGAUCCCUGUGCUCUUCCCCAGGCAGUCUCUGUGCCCCCUCCAAGAGGUAGCCACUGCAAUGGUUUAAAUAUGCCCCUCGGAAGUUCACUCCACCCCUAUGGUGGGAGGUGGGGCCUAAUGAGCGUGGGUAGCUCCCGAGGGCUCUGAUGGCAUGAAUGGACUAAUGCCAUGGAGCGGGAGUGGGUGUGUUAUGAGCGUGAGCUCGGCCCCCUCUUGCUUGCGCCCUCAUGUUCUCUUGCUUGUCUGCCUUCUGCCAUGGGAUGACACCGCAUGGAAGCUCCCACCAGAUGCUGCCCUCAUGCUCUUGGACUUUCCAGCCUCCAGAACCAAGUGUACUGUUAGGUCAGCACAAGGGGGACCAAGACGGCACCGCCCCAUUCUGCCUACUUCAGUGCCACACACAGUGGGCAUUCACAGCACGCUCUCUUUGGCUCCUGGCUUUUUCACUCAGGGCACCAUUUUGGAUACUCACCGUGUUGCAGGUAUGUGUGGCGUCCUGGUCACUUCAGGCUGCCAGAGCAGAAUGCCACAGGCCAGUGGCUUAAAUAAAGGGAUUUAUUUCUCUUGGUUCUGAAACUAGUAGUCCAAGAUCAAGGGGCCAACAUAGCUGAGCUCUUGGUGAGGGCUCAUCUGCACACGCCAUCUUCUCAGUGCGUCUUCAGGAGGGAAAAUCAAGAGCACCCCUGGGGCCCCAGUGACCCCAUGCGUGAGGGCUCCACCCCUAUGACAUCUAACCUCCAUAGGCUGCUCCUCCUAAUACCACCACAUGGGGUUAGAGCUUCAACAGGCAUCAACAGAGGAAGGACACAAAACACCCAGUCCAUAGCCAGUUGUCCCCUUCUUUUUAUUUCUGACUGAUAUUUCCAUUGUAUGGAUGUUUCCCAAUUGCUUAUUCAUUUUUCUAUUGCUAAAAAUUGGGGUUGGUUCCAAUUUUUGUCCAGUAGACCUCAACUAGAAUGAAAUAUUCACAUGGUUUUUCAUUUUUUUUCCAGUUUCUGUUUA
rnacentral:lncRNA from 1 species